rnacentral:rRNA from 1 species
UACAGAGGUCUCAAGCGUUGUUCGGAUUCAUUGGGCGUAAAGGGUGCGUAGGUGGCGCUGUACGUCGGGUGUGAAAUUUCGGAGCUUAACUCCGAAACUGCAUUCGAUACUGCGGUGCUUGAGGACUGGAGAGGAGACUGGAAUUCAUGGUGUAGCAGUGAAAUGCGUAGAGAUCAUGAGGAAGACCAGUGGCGAAGGCGGGUCUCUGGACAGUUCCUGACACUGAGGCACGAAGGCCAGGGGAGCAAACGGG